AUGAGGAAUUUUCUGGUAUUUAGCGUAAUUUUUAUUGCGUACAACAGCUGUGAAGCAGCGAAUAUUCAAGCAGACAACACAUUUGCCGACCCGAACAUUGGAGAAUUCCGUGAACUACUAAUCGACCCAAAAGCCGGUGCUCUUUUUGUGGGCUCCGAGGGAGCCAUUUUCCGUCUUUGGGCUUAUAAUAUCAACGAUACGGGGGAGAAUGUGUUCGCCAAAAAACAACUGGUGCUCAGCGAGUCCGAAGAAUCCGAGUGUCGUUCGACGGCCAGUGACGAGCGAUUGUGCCGCCCGUCGACUCGAUUUUUGGCGUUUACGAAUAACCUCGACUCGAUUUAUGUUUGCUCGUCGGUUGGCAUGAGGCCGGAGAUUCGUGUGCUCGACUCACUUUCGUUGCGAGACCAACAGGAGCCGCGGACCGAGAUUGGGAUUUGUGUUGUGGAUCCGACGUUUAAUUUUACGGCGGUUGUGGUUGAUAGUGGGAAUCCGGAGGGUAAGCAAGUGCGCUCUAUUGAUAAAUGAAAUUCAUUGAUAAUUUGGCUGCAAUUUUUCAAAAUUGUUUUGAAACUUUUCUAGUUUUGAAUGAGUUUGCUUAAAAAAAUGACCAAAAAUACCCAAUUAUUUUACAAAAACUAUCAAAAAACAUCCUUGAAUUUUGCAAAAAUUUUUGUUGCACAGAAAGUGGGGCGGAGCGUAGCUUUCGCAACACUGCCGCACGGGUUUGCCUCCGCCCCUUCUCCACUGCUUUUCUUGUUGAUUUUUUCAAUAAUGUUUCGAUUUGACUAUUAUUUUUCUCUUUUUUCGAAACAAAAAACUUUUGAGGCAAACCCCGUGCGGCAGUGUUGCGAAGUUACGCUCCGCCCCACUUUGUGUGCGACAGAAAAAAUUUUGCAAAAUUCAAGGAUCGAUUAAUAAGUUUUGAUAGUAGAUUUUAUCACCAAUCCCCACGUGGUGUCAGGCUGCUUCAUUUCAGUUUGAUCUACAAAAAAUGCGGUAAUAUUUUUCCAUAAAAACUGUGACGUCAGCACGUUCUUAACCAUGCAAAAUCAGUUGAGUACUCUGCGUCUCAACUCCCGCAUUUUUCGAAGAUCAAAUCAAAGUAAGACAUUCUGACACCACGUGAAAUUGUGAAAAAAAUAUUUGUUUUAGUCUAGAAUUUGGAUACAUUAUCUAUUUUCUGCAAACUUUGUGAAUGAUAAUUCUAAAUUACACUUUUUACUGUGAUUUAGAAUUAUCGAUAUUUGAAAAAAAUUUUGCAAAAAAUUUUUUAUUUUAUUCUCAUAAAUUUUGCAUCAAAACAUUUUCCAAAAAAUAAAGUGCAAAUUCCAAAAGUAAUUUUUGCAAUAAUGUUUGCCAAAUUGUUGCAGUUUUCAUUUGCAGAUGCCACAUCCGUAUACUCUGGAAUCCGUACAGGAAUGGGCGGUGAGAAUCAUCUGAUCUACCGUCCACCGCUCACCAAAAACGGCAAACAACUGCACGCCAGUAUUCGAACAAUCUAUUCGGACAACAAAUGGCUCAAUGAGCCGCAAUUCGUCGGCUCAUUUGAUGUCGGACAGCAUGUGUUCUUCUUUUUCCGUGAAAUUGCACAUGAUAACUCGUUCGGCGAGCGAAUCGUUCAUAGUCGUGUGGCAAGAGUUUGUAAAAAGGAUAUUGGCGGGAGAAAUGUAUUGCGACAAGUUUGGACGUCAUUUGUCAAGGCUCGACUUAAUUGUUCGGUUUCUGCAAAUUUCCCGUUUUAUUUCGAUCAUAUUCAAUCCGUAAAACGCGUCGACAAACACGGAGAAACCUACUUCUACGCCACGUUUUCCACAUCGGAAACCGCAUUUACUUCUUCUGCGAUAUGCAUGUUCCAACUCUCUUCAAUCAAUCAUCUCCUCGACACCGGCCUCCUAAUGGAAGAGACUGCGAACGGGCAGUUUUCGGUGACCGCCGACGAGAUUCCGGCUCAUCGCCCGGGAACGUGCUCACAAAACUCGCACAGCAUUUCGGAUACGGAUCUUCACUUUGCAAAAACGCAUCUCCUGGUUUCCGAUUCCAUAUCCGGCGGAACCCCGAUUCUGCCACUCCGUGACCACGUUUUCACGCAUAUUGUCGUAGAUCAACUUCCCAACCAGAAUGUGAUUUUUGCAUUUGAUAGUGCAAAUCGACGAGUUUGGAAAAUUUCGCAUUGGAAAGAAGGAAACGAGUGGAAAUCGAAUUUAAUCGAAGAAAAAUCGCUAAAAAUUGCGGCCUCCCGGAUUAAUGACGUGGCACUUUUGCCUGCCGAAUUCUUCUUUGUCACGUCUGGAGCCGGUGUCUCCCAAUUCUCAGUUGCUCGAUGCUCGGAGCAACCAUCCUGUGCUCUCUGCUCCCUUGAUCCCUACUGCAGCUGGAAUGCGGUCAACUCGAAAUGCUCGCUGAAAACAAAGACAAAUGAGAAAUCAGUCGGCUGGAUUUCGAGCUCAUGGGCUGGAAGAAUAUCACCAGAGUGCUCCGCUGUCGAGAAGCUUACCGUUAAGGAUGUCUACUUGGGCGACGGGCUCCGUUUGGUUGGAGCCAAGAAUGGGGUGUGGCAGAAGGAUGGGCGGAGUGUUGAGAGUGGGCAACGGCACGUGGUGACUCGGAAUGGGGAAUUGGUGGUGUUGGAUGCGCAGUUGGAGGAUGCUGGAACCUAUGAAUGUUUGAGAGAUAAUAUUAUUCUUGUUAGAGCAAGAAUUGUUGUUCAUGAAAACUGUGCCCGCCCGACAAGUGUCGCCGAAUAUCGUUCGUGCCAACGUGAAUGGUGCAAGAAAGCCGAUGCCUAUAAGGCAGCACUCAAUAUUUGGAGUGACUCCAAUAAGAAGAAUGUUCAGUGCAAGGCCAAUACAUCGAGUGCUCAUUGA
rnacentral:misc_RNA from 1 species